UACAGAGGGUGCAAGCGUUGUUCGGAAUUACUGGGCGUAAAGGGCGCGUAGGCGGCAAUUCAAGUCAUCUGUGAAAUCUCCGGGCUUAACUCGGAACGGUCAGAUGAUACUGUUUUGCUAGAGUGCAGAAGGGGCAAUCGGAAUUCUUGGUGUAGCGGUGAAAUGCGUAGAGAUCCGGAGGAACACCAGAGGCGAAGGCGGCCUACUGGGCUGCACCUGACGCUGAGCCGCGAAAGCCAGGGGAGCGAACGGG
rnacentral:rRNA from 1 species